AUUGAACGCUGGCGGCAUGCCUUACACAUGCAAGUCGAACGGCAGCACGGGAGCAAUCCUGGUGGCGAGUGGCGAACGGGUGAGUAAAGUAUCGGAACGUGCCCAGUCGUGGGGGAUCACGUAGCGAAAGUUACGCUAAUACCGCAUACGAUCUAUGGAUGAAAGCGGGGGACCGCAAGACCUCGCGCGAUUGGAGCGGCCGAUAUCAGAUUAGGUAGUUGGUGGGGUAAAGGCUCACCAAGCCGACGAUCUGUAGCUGGUCUGAGAGGACGACCAGCCACACUGGGACUGAGACACGGCCCAGACUCCUACGGGAGGCAGCAGUGGGGAAUUUUGGACAAUGGGCGAAAGCCUGAUCCAGCCAUGCCGCGUGCAGGAUAAAGGCCUUCGGGUUGUAAACUGCUUUUGUACGGAACGAAAAGGUUUGGCCUAAUAAGCUGAGCUCAUGACGGUACCGUAAGAAUAAGCACCGGCUAACUACGUGCCAGCCGCCGCAGUAA
rnacentral:rRNA from 1 species